rnacentral:rRNA from 1 species
GACGAACGCUGGCGGCGUGCCUAAUACAUGCAAGUGGAACGCUGAAGAGAGGAGCUUGCUCUUCUUGGAUGAGUUGCGAACGGGUGAGUAACGCGUAGGUAACCUGCCUUGUAGCGGGGGAUAACUAUCGGAAACGAUAGCUAAUACCGCAUAACAAUGGAUGACACAUGUCAUUUAUUUGAAAGGGGCAAUUGCUCCACUACAAGAUGGACCUGCGUUGUAUUAGCUAGUAGGUGAGGUAAUGGCUCACCUAGGCGACGAUACAUAGCCGACCUGAGAGGGUGAUCGGCCACACUGGGACUGAGACACGGCCCAGACUCCUACGGGAGGCAGCAGUAGGGAAUCUUCGGCGAUGGGGGCAACCCUGACCGAGCAACGCCGCGUGAGUGAAGAAGGUUUUCGGAUCGUAAAGCUCUGUUGUAAGUCAAGAACGGGUGUGAGAGUGGAAAGUUCACACUGUGACGGUAGCUUACCAGAAAGGGACGGCUAACUACGUG